rnacentral:rRNA from 1 species
UACGUAGGGGGCAAGCGUUAUCCGGAUUUACUGGGUGUAAAGGGAGCGUAGACGGCUGAGCAAGUCAGAAGUGAAAGCCCGGGGCUCAACCCCGGGACUGCUUUUGAAACUGCGGAGCUGGAGUGCAGGAGAGGUAAGCGGAAUUCCUGGUGUAGCGGUGAAAUGCGUAGAUAUCAGGAGGAACACCGGUGGCGAAGGCGACUUUCUGGACUGUAACUGACGUUGAGGCACGAAAGUGUGGGGAGCAAACAGG